CUAACCCGUUUGAGGAUGUCAGGUAUUCCUCGUUCAGCUUCAGUUAUUGCCAGUGGGCAAAGUGGCAAAGCUGGGCAUGCCAUUGCUGUUAAAUUGAGGGGGUCUACAUAUUUGGGUUGCAGCAAUCCAGCCUGUGCAAGAGUUGCAGUGAUGGGGCCCUUCCACGCAUUGCGAAUACCACACAAGAUGAUAUUCUGGUUUGGUGUCAGUUGCACAUCUAAACUGUAAUUCUCUAUUAUCUCCCUCAAUGUUUUCUUCAUUUUCCCUCCAAUGCGACCAUUGUCAACAUGGAGCCCACAAAACAAAUCACCAUUACCCUGCUCAUGCCAUCCCAAAUAACUUUUAAAUUCCCACUUAGGCAACUCACGGAAAGGCUCAAAUUUCUUUCCAUAAUAUUGCUCAACAACAGUUCUGAACUUCUCAAUCCCCCAGGAGCUGAUCAAAUAUUUCAUUCUACUGUACUUCCGGUCAUCUCUCCUCCCAUUUUCUCGUUGUGUAACAACAAUAGCUUUCACUGCAUAUAAAAUGUCUUCUUUUGGUACAUAGCCCAAUGGUUCAGCCAGACGUGGAAAAGUGUUCUCCAGCCUAUGUGUUCUUCCCAUACCACCACCAACAUAUAUGUUGAACCCCUGGGGCUCCCCAUUGGCAUCUGUAACCACAACAAUACCAACGUCAUUUGUGAGAAUAUCCACUGAGUUAUCUGCCGGCACAGUGACGGCAAUUUUGAACUUUCUAGGCAAGAAUUGGGCUCCAUAAAUGGGCUCUGGUGAGUCUGGAAAAUUUGUUCCAUGAGAAUUGUCAUUGCGGGCCUCCACUACCUCAGGAGGUUCAGCUGUCAAGAUUUUCUCCCCAUCCACCCACAUAUCAUAGUAGAACCCAGACUGAGGAGUGAGGAGUGCGGCAAUAUUCUCAGCAGUUUUCUGUGCAAAUUGGUAAUCUUUUCUCGCAAAUGGGGCAGCAGGGGCCAGGACAUUCCGGUUGAGAUCACCGCAUGCACCAAGAGUUGUGCCCAUGCUAUGAAUGAUACUACUCAUUACAGUCUUGAGGUUUUUCUUCAAAACACCAUGGAGUUGAAAUGUCUGUCUGGUUGUCAAACGAAGAGUUCCAAUUCCAAAUUGAUCAGCAAGAUCAUCCAUGGUUAAGUACAGUUUAUUUGGGACUUUGCCGCAAGGGUUCUUAGUUCGAAGCAUAAAUGAGUAGGAUUUUGCACCCCGUUCAUCUCUAUUAUACUGUUGAUAGCUCCCAUGGAACUUGAUUAUUUGGGUAGCAGACUCAUUAAUAUUUGGGGCGUCUGUCAGCAACUCCUCAUUAAGAGGGUACCUGAUGUAAUUACUAUGUUCUUUGAUUAUUUCAACCUUGCUGCGCUUAGUCUCUUUUUCUGGCUUCACUGGCGUCGAAACAGCUCGUAUAAGCGAAGGUCUGGACGAAGAAACAGAAAAUACAUUCUCAGGUCUGGUCAAAGCAAGAGAAUUUGAAUGCCUCAAACCAUCAAAACUCCGUAUUUUGAUCUUCGGGUCUUUCAAAACUGCAGUGUUCGCAGCUCCAAAAGAGGCCGUCGUCGUCAUGAACUCUGAAAUCCAGAACCAACAAACAGUAAUCCCUAUACAACGAGAGGUUUUGAAAGCGGGGCUCAAGCGAGAUCGAGAAAGAGAGAAAGAAGGAAGUAC
rnacentral:misc_RNA from 1 species